AUUGAACGCUGGCGGCAGGCCUAACACAUGCCAGUCGAGCGGAUGAAGGGAGCUUGCUCCUGGAUUCAGCGGCGGACGGGUGAGUAAUGCCUAGGAAUCUGCCUGGUAGUGGGGGAUAACGUCCGGAAACGGGCGCUAAUACCGCAUACGUCCUGAUGGAGAAAGUGGGGGAUCUUCGGACCUCACGCUAUCAGAUGAGCCUAGGUCGGAUUAGCUAGUUGGUGGGGUAAAGGCCUACCAAGGCGACGAUCCGUAACUGGUCUGAGAGGAUGAUCAGUCACACUGGAACUGAGACACGGUCCAGACUCCUACGGGAGGCAGCAGUGGGGAAUAUUGGACAAUGGGCGAAAGCCUGAUCCAGCCAUGCCGCGUGUGUGAAGAAGGUCUUCGGAUUGUAAAGCACUUUUAGUUGGGAGGAAGAGCAGUAAGUUAAUCCCUUGAUGUUUUGACGUUACCAACAGAAUAAGCACCGGCUAACUUCGUG
rnacentral:rRNA from 1 species